UCCCGGAGGUCCAAAGCAACUGAUCCUGCAGAUCUACUUGUUUGCAUGACUGAGGGACUUGGAGGCUAGUGCUUCUAGGAACUCCAUUUCCAUCCUGCUGCUGUCCACAGGUUUUCACAGCAGACCCUUUGGCUGUUGUUUCUCUGAAGUUUGACAGAGUUUGGAGGCACUUGGGACCAUCAGAUAAGCAGAGCAGCCAGCACAAGCAGAGUUGGCCUGGUAUGUGUGGUUGUGUGUUCCAAGUGAUGGUUAGAUGAUUAGUAAUUCAACAUGACCUUGAAUUCCAUCACCCUCAGACUG